rnacentral:lncRNA from 10 species
GCAGAACGCAGGUAUAAGCUAUAACACAGAGAACACCAAGUAAUUGCGGCAAUGCCACAGCAGAAAGAACCUAUCGUUCCUGGGGCUGGGGAAACAAAGAGAAGAGGAUGACAUUAUUGAAACUUGUGAGGGCUCCCAUAGAGCAGAGAUGCAGACAUCUGAGAAGGAGGCUGCCAUUCAGCUGCUGCUGCUGUCCCCAAGCUUGGAGUGGGGCUCCACGGGGCUGUGACUGGCUGAGGAGUGGGUGUUGGUUGGCUGCUGCUGGGGUCUCCAAGAAGGCACAAUGAAGCUAGUUCUGUGCGUGCUGGGAAAACUGCACACCGGAUUCAACUGCUGCUACUGGAAUGAACUGCCUCUGCUGGAGAAAGAUGCGGGCCUAAGAAUCCAUGUUGGCAGAAGCCGAGAGGAAGUCAGUUGGCAAAGCAGAAGCCCAGCCCCAGCAUUAUACAGCAGAGAACAGUUGAGUGGGUGUGAAGUUCCUGACUUCCUCUGACCGCUCUCCACUGGCCAAACCCAAUGAGAAGACAGAAUUGAGGCUGUCGGUAGUGUGUCCUCAGAGAUCAACCACCUUGGUCAGACAGGAGGUUGAAGAAGGCUGGAAAGCAAAACUGGAGGGUGAACAGAAAAGUUCCAGCAAUCGGGACACUGGGGGCAUUUGACACACAGGUCAGAUAAUAUACAACCACCCUACUCUAUGCAAAAAAUUUAUUUUCAAUACUAUUCAGAAAUAAUUACUUUGAUCUUGAUUUAAUCCUUAGCUUUAAACCAAUUCACAACCUAGAAAGAAUGCAUUGGCCGGGCAUGGUGGCUCACGCCUGUAAUCCCAGCACUGUGGGAGGCCGAGGUGGGCGGAUCACCUGAGGUCGGGAGUUGGAGACCAGACUGACCAACAUGGAGAAACCCUGUCUCUACUAAAAAUACAAAAUUAGCCGGGUAUGGGGGCACAUGCUGGUAAUCCCAGCUACUCAGGAGGCUGAGGCAGGAGAAUCACUUGAACCCGGGAGGCAGAUGUUGCAGUGAGCUGAGAUCGUGCCAUUGCACUCCAGCCUGGGCAACAAGAGUGAAACUCUGUCUCAAAAAAAAAAUGCAUUUAAAUGUACAGGUAUUAUUCAAAUUCAGUAAAACAUAACAUGAAUGAAUUUAAUUUUGCACUUAUUAAAGAAAAAGAUUGCACAUCACAGCUCUAGACUUAAGUUAAAAACUCCACUGGGCAUGUGCAAUGACAGAACUGAAAUAACUCAAGGUAUGUUUCUUCCUCUUUACAAACUUGGCACUGUCAUAGUCUAUUUUGAGUUUAUUGUUUAAAUGUACACAUGUGCCAUACCAUAGGGUUUUGGAGAAAUGAGCUAUAUCCCAAGAGAGUUUCAACAGUUCGAAGCUGUUGAAGACUUACACUUGAAACAAAUAUGUGUAGCUGAGUCUGUGUGUAGCUGUAUUUGGACUAAAUGCUAACUGGAUGUUCUCUGAAUUAACUUCCAUGUGGCAUACGGUGUUUCUUAAAAUAUAAGAUAUGAAGAGCAGGCUAUUUAAAGCUUGCAUACACAUUAUUAAAAUUCAACAUUAACUGCCACAAUAGUUUGAAACUUAGACCAACAAAAGGUUGCUUUACUGAUAUCGUUUAGAUUUGCCAGUGCUUGGUGUUAAUAAAAGCAGAUCAAUUUGGUGUGGGUUUCAUUAUUGCUUUUAAAGUCUCUCUGGGUCAUGCCUGCACUGGGGUGGACUGCUCCCCUGCCCGCCCGUGGCCCACUGCUUCAUUGAGCCCAUCUUUUGGGUGUUUUCUGUCAUAACUUCUGCUUGCUCAAUUUUCUGCUUACUCAUAACUUCGCCUCUCACAAGAUCUUGUGAGCUGCUCUCACCAGUCCUUACCUUCCUACUUUGGGUCCCAUUGUCUCCUUUCUUAAUCUCCCAGAAUGACGUAAUUCAAAUCCCUGCAAGAGAGACUUUUAUUUGGCCAGCACAUCUUUUGGAGCAGACAAUAUCACUGGCUUUCAGCUAGACGGUGCAUUGACCCUAUUGGCUCUGGUAACCAGAGGAGGAUGGGUUCACUGACCCAAAUCAUGCCUGUCCAGAAGGGGCUCUGUGCAACACAGUUUCCGGGAUUGGUGAGUGUAAUGCCCGGAAAGUUUGAACAUGCAUAGAAAUCCCUAAGGCAAACAAGAAUUUAUUUGUAAUAUAGUAGAUAGAGCGCUGGAUGUGGAGUCAGGUGUACCUGGUCUUAAAUCCGCUCUGUGAUGUUUUUGCAAGUCUGAUAUUUCCUCAUCCUUAGUUUGCUUGUAGCGAAAUAGGUGUUUUGGCUGGACGUGGUGGCUCAUGCCUGUAAUCCCAGCACUUUGGGAGGCUGGGGCGGGUGGAUCACCUGAAGUCAGGAGUUCGAGACCAGCCUGACCAACAUGGUGAAACCCCGUCUCUACUAAAAAUGUGAAAAUUAGCCGGGCGUGGUGGUGCACUCCUGUAAUCUCAGCUACUCAGGAGGCUGCGGCAGGAGAAUCACCUGAACCUGGGAGGUGGAGGUUGCCGUGAGCCAAGAUCGUGCCAUUGCACUCCAGCCUGGGAAACAAGAGUGAAACUCUGUCUUGGAAAAAUAAAAAAUAAAUAAAUAAAUAAAAACAGAUGCUUCAUUUAGGUAGAGAAUGCAAGCCCUAAAACUUAAAAAUGCUGAAACGAAGUCAUAGCAAGAAGUCUAGCUGUGGGUGGCUGCCGGCAUUGGUUCAGGGUCAGCUUCUCAGAGCAUCUCUUGGCCUUUCUCCUAUACUUGUCCCACCACAGUUGCAUGAUGGCUUUUACAGCUGUAGACAUCCUGUCCUUCUCCAGAUAGGAAGAAAGGGGAGGUGGUGAUGAGCCCAUGGACCCAAGUUUAUGCCUAUUAGGAAAAGCGAAGGGCUCCCCAGACUCCCAGCAGAUUUGCACUGAUGUCUCUUCUGCCAAGGCAGUGUACAAGGCCACCCCUGGCUACAGGGCAGGCUAGGACAGGGGUAUUUGUGUGGGGCUAGACAUAGGUUUCCCAGAACAAAACUGAGAUUAUACCAGCAGAAACACAGGAGAGGGGACAGGCAUUAGGAAGGUGGGUGGGAUAUCGCAAAGGGGUUAAAUCUAUCUGAUCUGUUUCCUUCCAGGGUGGUUGUGAGGAUUAGACAUUUGUGAAAUGUGCUAUGGGGUUGUAUUAGUCCAUUCUCACACUGCUAUAAAAAGCUGCCUGAGACUGAGUCAUUUAUAAACAAAAGAGGGUUAAUUGACUCAUAGCUCUGCAUGGCUGGGGAGGUUUCAGAAAACUUACAAUCAUGGUGGAAGGCAAAGGGGAAGCAAGUACUUUCUUCACAAGGCAGCAGGAGAGACAGGAAGUACCACACUUUAAAACCACCAGCUCUGGUGAGAACUCACUCACUAUCACGAGACCAGCAUGGGGAAAAUCACCCCCAUGAUCCAAUCACUUCCCACCAGGUCCCUCCGUCAACAUAUGGGGAUUACAAUUUGAGAUGAGAUUUCGGUGGGGAAGCAGAGCCACAUCAUAUCAGGGGCCCUUCUCAAAAUGAAAACAUGAAGCUCCCCUACUUGAUCAUUCUAUUUCCUAUGGCUGUUUUCCUAAAGAUCGGCCCUUUUUUCCACUUUACUUUGAGAACCACCAAACAAAAUUGAGUCUGGCCUGACACUGCGUACCCUUUUCCCUUGCAACCUCAUCUCUUCAUGUGCCCUUUGCCCUCUGAUGACUCUAACCUCUUUCGAAGGUCCUUGAAUUCACUAAGAUUUGUUUACUCAAGGGCCUUUACUUUUGCAAUUUUCCCUGCUUGGAGCAAUCUUCCUCCUUUCUGUUCCUUCUGCAGAGAAGUCUACCCUGACUCUCAACCAAUGUGAAAAAUCCCCUUGCUCUUUCCUGGCUUUCUUUCAGAGUGCCGAGCACAGUCUUCAUUUCUGGAUAGUCUAUUGAUUAGCAUUUAUCUGCUUGAAAGGCAGCCUAACUGUAGCAUUUGAGGGCCUGAGUGCUGGAGCUAGACUACCUGGAUUUAAGCGCUUCCCAGCUGUGUGAUCCCGGGAAAGUUAUUUUAAUGUCUGGUGCCUCAGUUUCCUCAUCUGUAAAAAUAGAGAUAUUAAUAUCACCUACUUCAUAGGGUUGUGGAGGGGAUUAACUGUUUAUAUUUGUAAAGUGCUUAGAGCAGUGCUCUGUGCAUAGCAGAGAUUAUGCGAGUAUUACAUAAAUAAAAGAAAUAAUACCUGUUUCCUCCACGAUACUGUGUGAUCUAUAAAGAGGAGAACUGUAUCUGUUCUUUCACUGUAGUGGUUAGCACAGUGCCAGGCCAUGUUAUUGUUGUUGUUGCUGUUGUUUUACAUCCAGCGAGUAUUAAAUAUUUGCCAAAUAAAUGAAUAAAG